CGUAGGGUGCGAGCGUUAAUCGGAAUUACUGGGCGUAAAGCGUGCGCAGGCGGUUUGUUAAGAUAGGCGUGAAAUCCCCGGGCUCAACCUGGGAACUGCGCUUAUGACUGGCAAGCUAGAGUACGGCAGAGGGGGUGGAAUUCCACGUGUAGCAGUGAAAUGCGUAGAGAUGUGGAGGAACACCAAUGGCGAAGGCAGCCCCCUGGGUCGAUACUGACGCUCAUGCACGAAAGCGUGGGUAGCAAACAGGAUUAGAUACCCUGGUAGUCCACGCCCUAAACGAUGUCAACUAGGUGUGGGAGGGUAAAACCUUUUAGUACCGGAGCUAACGCGUGAAGUUGACCGCCUGGGGAGUACGGCCGCAAGGUUA
rnacentral:rRNA from 1 species